rnacentral:piRNA from 1 species
UAUGGAGUUCUCUUGGAUUGAGAAGUGGA